rnacentral:lncRNA from 1 species
AAAUAUUUAUUAAUAAACACAAUUUUAGGGGAGAAAUCGGGAAUAAAAUGAGGGUAAGGGCCCAAUUGAAAGGUGCGCAUAACUCAGAGGGACCAAAUGGGAAAAUAUCCCGCCCUCUAAAACACGCCGUUGGGCACAGGACCAAAAUGAAACAAAAGUAAAAUUAUGAUGCUAAAUUCAAAAAAAAGAAAAGAAAGAAAAAGGACCAAAUUGUAAACCAUCAUAAAAAUGAAAGGACUGCGCGUAAAUAUCCCGUCAAAGUAAAACACGCGGAUCUUCCCCCCCGGUCGGGUUGACGCGCGGGUAAAAGGAUACUAAGGCCAAAACAGCUUCGUUUUGCCCACUGGGGUUAAGGCCCAAAACGGCGCCGUUUCAGUCCUCUAUAAAAACCAAAUUU